UUUUACUACAACAUCCUAGAGAACUAUUCACCCGAAAUUAGAAGAGCUAAUGUUAUUAUGUUUUUAGAUAAUUUCCUUGCUGUGGCAUCAGCAAGUUACAAAAAAAUAUUAGAAGUGAAAUACUUACAAUUCUAAAGAUAGCUGGAUGAUUGCGAAAUACAUCUAGUGUAUACUAAAAAUUUACAAAGUGUUUAGAAUUUGUAAAUAUAAAUUUUCCUUUACUAGCAAAAAUAUUCUUGUAUUAUAAUAUAAAAUGAGUAAUUUAUUUUCACUCAUGAUUAAUAUCUAGUUUAAAUAUUAACUAAUAGCACUUAAAUUCUCUUAAUGAGUAGAUGAUUCUAUAAUGUAAAAAUUAGUAAAAUUAAGAUAUCUAUAUAAGGAACUCGACAAAUAUAUUUCUUGACUGUUUAUCAAAAACAUAGCGACAUGAUAUUAUAUGUGGUUUAAUCUGCCCGGUGAUCUAUUUAACGGCCGCAGUACUUUAACUGUGCUAAGGUAGCAUAAUAAUUUGGCUUUUAAUUGGGGUCUGGAAUGAAAGAACACACAAGGAAUUAUUGUCCCAUAAGGAUAUACUAAACUUAAUAAGUAAGUGAAAAUGCUUACAAUUCUAAAACAAAAGACGAGAAGACCCUUAGAAUUUUAAGAAGAUAAUUCAUAAGCUAUUAAAACUUUUUGUUGGGGCAACAUCUUAUCAGUCUUAAUAUGGGAUAUAUUAAAUAAUCUACCGAUUAAAUAUUUAAAACAAAAUUACCUAAGGGAUAACAGCAUAAUUUUAAAUAAAAAGAUUGUGACCUCGAUGUUGGACUAGGGACUACACCUGUUAAUCGCAACUGUAGCUUGUUCUGUUCGAACAUCUUAACCCUACAUGAUCUGAGUUCAGACCGG
rnacentral:rRNA from 1 species